rnacentral:rRNA from 1 species
GAACCUGCGGAAGGAUCAUUACCGAGUGCGGGCGCCUCUGGGUCCAACCUCCCAUCCGUGUCUAUCUGUACCCUGUUGCUUCGGCGUGGCCACGGCCCGCCGGAGACUAACAUUUGAACGCUGUCUGAAGUUUGCAGUCUGAGUUUUUAGUUAAACAAUCGUUAAAACUUUCAACAACGGAUCUCUUGGUUCCGGCAUCGAUGAAGAACGCAGCGAAAUGCGAUAAUUAAUGUGAAUUGCAGAAUUCAGUGAAUCAUCGAGUCUUUGAACGCACAUUGCGCCCCCUGGUAUUCCGGGGGGCAUGCCUGUCCGAGCGUCAUUGCUGCCCUCAAGCACGGCUUGUGUGUUGGGCUUCCGUCCCUGGCAACGGGGACGGGCCCAAAAGGCAGUGGCGGCACCAUGUCUGGUCCUCGAGCGUAUGGGGCUUUGUCACCCGCUCCCGUAGGUCCAGCUGGCAGCUAGCCUCGCAACCAAUCUUUUUAACCAGGUUGACCUCGGAUCAGGUAGGGAUACCCGCUGAACUUAAGCAUAUCAAU